CACGUAGGGUGCGAGCGUUGUCCGGAAUUAUUGGGCGUAAAGAGCUCGUAGGCGGUGUGUCGCGUCGGCCGUGAAAACCUGCAGCUUAACUGUGGGCUUGCGGUCGAUACGGGCAUCACUGGAGUUCGGCAGGGGAGACUGGAAUUCCUGGUGUAGCGGUGAAAUGCGCAGAUAUCGAGGAGGAACACCGGUGGCGAAGGCGGGGUCU
rnacentral:rRNA from 1 species